UACGGAGGGUGCGAGCGUUGUCCGGAAUCAUUGGGCGUAAAGGGCGCGUAGGUGGCGCGGCAAGCGUGCGGUGAAAGCUCGGGGCUCAACCCCGAGUCGGCCGUGCGAACUGUUUGGCUGGAGCACUGUAGAGGCAGGCGGAAUUCCGGGUGUAGCGGUGGAAUGCGUAGAGAUCCGGAAGAACACCGGUGGCGAAGGCGGCCUGCUGGGCAGUUGCUGACACUGAGGCGCGACAGCGUGGGGAGCAAACAGG
rnacentral:rRNA from 1 species